GCUGGCGCGUGCCUAAUACUGCAAGUCGAGCGGACAGUAUGGGAGCUUGCUCCCUGAUGUUAGCGGCGGACGGGUGAGUAACACGUGGGUAACCUGCCUGUAAGACUGGGAUAACUCCGGGAAACCGGGGCUAAUACCGGAUGGUUGUUUGAACCGCAUGGUUCAAACAUAAAAGGUGGCUUCGGCUACCACUUACAGAUGGACCCGCGGCGCAUUAGCUAGUUGGUGAGGUAAUGCUCACCAAGGCAACGAUGCGUAGCCGACCUGAGAGGGUGAUCGGCCACACUGGGACUGA
rnacentral:rRNA from 1 species